ACUCCCUUAGUAUAACUAGUACAGCUGACUUCCAAUCAGCUAGACCCGACUAAGAUCCGGGAGAGAGUA
rnacentral:tRNA from 1 species